rnacentral:lncRNA from 1 species
ACAGAAUAAAAUUACUUGAUCAAAUUUUAAUUGACAUAGUUAUUUACAAUUUUGUACCCACUUAAUACCUUAUGAAGCAUGAACACAAACAAAGACACAUGACAUGACAUGACAUGACAUAUACGUUAAUAUGUCGACACUGAUAAUAAUUUUUAAAAAAUGACAUAAUCCUAUAUAAUUAUAAGUAUUUGCGUCUUGUCAUAUUGAACACUGUCGCGUGUCCAACACUAAAUCCUUUCCUUGAUCUUCAUGAUCUUCAUGCACAGAGAUGUGACAAGACAAACCCUAAAUCCUUUCCUCCCCUAAGGUUGUUAAACCAAGCAAGAAUAUACAAACACUUUUUGCUUGAAAGUGUUGUUUGUCUGCGCAAGAUUAAUGGAAUGUUGAAAACCCUCUGGCAUGGUCUGGACUCUGGAGGUUAUUAUGAAAUUGCUGAUAUAUAAGUUGAUCAUGAUAAUUUUUUUUUUGGUUUUGUGUUGAACAAGUGUUUGUUAUGUUGAUCAUGAUCAUAUAUAAUAUACAAUUGUUCCUUAAAAGUGAUAUUCAUACCUUCGAUAUCUAAAUAUUUUUUUGGUUGACAAACCUUUAUAUAAUUUAGAUUCUCUGGUUAAUGCAUUUGAACAUUCUUUGAUUAGUAGUAAAUUCAAAUUAUUGCAUAUUAUUUUAGUGAAAGUCACUCCACUACAUUGGUCAAAGGACAUUUUUGUUGCCAAAAUAAAAGAACCGAAGAAAAUUUAUUUCAACAUUUCUUUUUUCUUUUUUGACAAAAUUAUUUCAGCAUUUCUUAAAUCAAAGAAAUGGAAUAAACGAUUAAAUUGUGAACAUUUUAAAAGAUAAAGGAUCCUUCGUGUUGUUCUUAUCCUUAUCCCUUAUUAAGAAAGGCAAACACAAUAAUUUAUUUAAAAAAAUUUCAUUCGAACUUAAGUUCAUAUUUUUAGUUGUUUAUUAAGAGCUGAUUUAUAUGAAAUUUUACGGUUAAUUAAGAGCUGAUUUAAUUAAGAGCUGUUUUUAACUGUAAAAUAACCUCACAAACUUCUGGUUGUGAGUUGACAAUGUAUACGUGGCCUUUUAGUUGAUGCCAUUAUGACAAAAUCAAUAGUCUGUAAUAUUAUAUCAGGCAAUUGAAAAUUUACCUAGAGUGAUUUUCUGAAGUCCCCAUCUGUUGUAAACCAUAAGCCUUGCUCCGAUUUACAUCCCUGAUCACAUAGCAGCUGCUUGUAUAAAAUCUAAAUAAGAUUUUAAGCAGUUCAUGUACCUUCGCAUUUUCAAACUUGUUGAAGUAUAAUUACCAUUCCUAUGAAGACAUAUGACGGCGCUAGGUUAGGGAUGGUUCAGAUCUAGCUCUGAUACCAUGCAGAAAUAUGAUACAAGAGAAGUAUAUAUAGAAUACAUAGGACAGUACAGAUCACAAGUCUAGCUUAAAAAUAUUCUAACUAUAAAUGCCUAGUUUUAAAUAUAGGAAUGACAGAAAAAGACUGCUAAUUAAUUUACAGAGUCCUAAUUAGUUGUACACACAACUGUACAAAAUAGAAUUACACCAAUUUUGUAUUAAUCUUCAAUAGAUAAUGAGUCACAUUGGUUUUUCAUUUUUGUGUAAUUAACAUGUCUUAUGUGGAAACUUAUUGUUUUUAUUCUUGCAGGUCGUCAACGAGCUACUACUUCAUCUAUUUAGAGACACAAAGAGAGUUGUUAGAAAACGAAUUUUGGGCUCACUUCUGUUCAUUAGCUGAUUUUAGAAAAAAAAUUAUUGAUAACUUUGGUAAAUGUUUCUCAGAAUAAUGCAUUUUAAGGGUUUAAUUAAGGACGUAUAAAUUCUUUUGUCUUUUAU